GUUGAACGCUGGCGGCAGGCCUAACACAUGCAAGUCGAGCGGAUGAAGGGAGCUUGCUCCUGGAUUCAGCGGCGGACGGGUGAGUAAUGCCUAGGAAUCUGCCUGGUAGUGGGGGAUAACGUCCGUAAACGGGCGCUAAUCCCGCAUACGUCCUGAGGGAGAAAUUGGGGGAUCUUCGGACCUCACGCUAUCAUAUGAGCCUAGGUCGGAUUAGCUAGUUGGUGGGGUAAAGGCCUACCAAGGCGACGAUCCGUAACUGGUCUGAGAGGAUGAUCAGUCACACUGGAACUGAGACACGGUCCAGACUCCUACGGGAGGCAGCAGUGGGGAAUAUUAGACAAUGGGCGAAAGCCUGAUCCAGCCAUGCCGCGUGUGUGAAGAAGGUCUUCGGAUUGUAAAGCUCUUUAAGUUGGGAGGAAGGGCAGUAAGUUAAUACCUUGCUGUUUUGACGUUACCAACAGAAUAAGCACCGGCUAACUUCGUG
rnacentral:rRNA from 1 species